rnacentral:misc_RNA from 1 species
UAUCAAUCCCUGUUCUAUGGUGUUAGAAGUAAUAAUACAGAGCCUGCAACAAGUAGUUUAGACUACUCUGGAUCACCGUCAGUACUGAAGUCCGAAGCUACAACAGUUAUCGGUGGUAAUUUUAGGGCACAUGUGGAACAGAGCCAAGAAAUGACAGAUAAAUCUCGCAGCAAAGAAUCCAGAGGUUUUAGAAAGCUGUUGAAA